AGCUAAACGUUCUCGUAUCAUCGAACUCUAUCGCGGGUUGAGGCAUAGAGGUCCUGAUUGGAGUGGAGUCCAUUGUUAUGAAUAUUGUUAUCUUGCUCAUGGGCAUUUAGCCAUCAUUGACCCAACUUCUGGAGACCAACCGCUCUAUAUCAAAGACAAGACCAUCGUUGUCACGGUCAAUGGAGAGAUAUACAACCACAAGGUUUUGCGUGAAAAGCUCAAGUCUCAUCAAUUCCACACUGGUAGCGACUGUGAAGUGAUUACACACCUUGUAAGUAUGUGUAAUUGAGAAAAGACUGAAUUGUUGCUUAUGGAUUACUAUCUGCUGUACCUUUUUGCUUAUUGCCAGUUAGUGAAAAUGUAACUGAGCAUAUUUAUUGUUGCAUUUUGGUCUGUCUUGCAGUACGAAGAACAUAAAGAAUACGUCAUUUUGGUCUGUGUAAAAUGACUUAUAACAUUAUUUUAAAAAAUUAAAAAAACCUGAUAACAAUAUGGUAGAAGACUCUAUCAUAGCAUAUUUAUACGACGCUAUUGUAUGUGUGAUAUCUACGAUAACAGUGAUCUAACAUAGCGUUUGUGAAAAAGUUAUGAAUGACCUAUUAUAGCAUUUUUCUACUGCUA